CGAUGCUCUGUCACUGCUCAAUCUGGUCGACAUCUGGUCUUUGAGCUCCGAAAAGUACUCUAUCUGCUUCGUCAUGUUGAUGGUAGCUCCCUGGUGUGAUCAUCAUUUGUUACUGCACUGGCUGAGGGUGUAAAAGUGUAGUUCUGAUUUCAACUAUCUCCAAGUCCAACUAUGUAAUUGUGCUUCAUGAAAUACAGAGCUGGAGUACAGAAGUUGUUGCUUUGAAGAUGUGGAGAAUUUUCUCAACUUUAGAACAUGUUGGCACUUCACAAACAUUCCCAGGAAACUGGUCAAACAGUUCUUACGUACCGUGGAAUCAAGAACACCAGAGCCUCCAGAAGCAUAGUUGGCUCCUCUCAUGGAGGCAAGAGCAGCACCUGUCAUCUUCUGAGUCUUGUUGCUCAUCGCCUCGCCGCUGCUGCUGGCGACGAGAGAGAGUUGGCUCACCCAAGAAGUCUGCGCCGAUGAGGCCAUUGCUGAACCUGCCCGUUGGCUCGCUGCCAGGGAGGUCGACGCCAUUGUGAGGGAAGUCAGCCCUGGCACUGCUCCCAGGCAAGUAGUUGUUGUUCCCCACG